AGAGACAGAAAAAAACAAAAAAUAAAAAGAAAAAAUAACAAUCAUUUCAAUGUUCACAACCGAAACCCAACCAGUAAACCCAAACGAUUUCAGUUUAUUUGAGGAAAGCGCAGCAAAACAAUUGUAAAUUUAAGUGCAUUUAAUUUAACUUUAACGACAGCUUAAAUUUCAUUUAUGUUAAACCAGUUCAAGCACUACAUCCGUAAUAAAGUGUGACAGUUUAUGGAAAAUACUAAA